UACUAUUGCGGACCCAUCUUACAGUAAAUGUUUCUGCCUUUUUUUACAGUCCUGUGGUAGUGGUCAGUCAGAUUCUACUUUACCAGAUGACGAGGUUUGCGAAUUAUGGUUUUAUUAAGC
rnacentral:sRNA from 1 species